rnacentral:lncRNA from 1 species
GGCUAAUCUAAUCUAAUUAAACUUCCUUUCUGGAUCCCUGACUCAUUGUGAUUAAUUGGUCUCAGAUCGAGGGGAGCAGAGCCAGCCCAUUGCUGGAUAUCAAUGCUGGUGACCCAGAUGGGACCACAGCCUCUGCCGGUGGCUCGUCGACUUGGAGGAAGCUGUUUGGGGAUUUUUCCCCACAGCUGCUGGCAGCUUUUUCUUUCCCUUUUUUCCGCCCAGGAUAUUCCCCUUGUGGCUGCCUCACUAGCCGACUGCCUCGGGCAAAGAAUGACUGAUCCUAAGCUGAGGAGCUUGCGUCUGCAGCCAGGGGAGUCAUCCGGCCUCCACCUCCCAGGGCUUCCAGUCUCAGAUUGUUUUGCCCCAGUGCUGUCCUGGAACUUCUCUGCUGGACUCCUUGACUCCCACGAGGGCCCUCUCCUCCACAGGUUACAGCGUUGCUGGUCCAGUCUGACCUGCUGACUCUGCCCACUACACGGUGGCUUUUGCAACUGUCUUCAGUCUGACGGUGAAGCACCUUUUAUUGCAAACUCACUCAACACUGGACUAACAGUCCAGGUGGGCCUUCCCUGCUCCCUGUGGUCCACGGGCCUGCGGUGUGCUAAGUGCUGAAACAGCUUCCAAAACCAGCUCUGAAAGAUUCCCCACUCGCCCCCCCUCACCUUCUCCUAGUGUCUACACCUGAGGAAGACAGUUUGGUCACUGAAAGCAGAAGUUCCCAGAAAGGGGUCAUCUCCCCUUGGCCACUUCCUGGACAAUGAUCACGACGAAAUGGUGGGGGAUUAUGGGCUGUAAAGUCUGGGGGGGUCCCCGAGACCACCCUCGGGUUGGACAAUUUGCUGGAAGGACUCACAGAACUCAUGGAAAGCUGUUCCACUCACGGUUAUGGUUUAUUACAGAGAAAGGAACAGAUUAAAAUCAGCCAGGGGAAGAGGCGCAUGGGGCAGAGUCCAGCAGAGACCAGGCGUGAGCCUCCAGUUGUCUCUCCUCGUGGAGUCUUGGGUGAUGCUAACGCUUCCAGCAAGGAUGUGUGACGACAAUCACGGAGUAUUUCCAACCAGCUCACCUGAGCCUUAGUGUCCAGAGUUUUUACUGACACUUGGUCACAUAGACAUGAUUGACGACCUGUGUGGCUGACCUCGGCCUUCAGCCCCUCUGGAGGCUGAGCAGAUGCCAUUGGCCCAGAGCCACCACUGUAAAUCAUUGUCCCCAUAGACUAUCUGGCCCCUCCCAAGGUCCCCAGGUAAACAAAGAUGCUCUUAUCAGGCAGGACAGUCCAAAGGCUUAAGAUCGCCUCCCAGGAGCCAGGCAAGACCUCUCUCUGGGUGAAGUUAAUUCUUUACUAUACAUGGGGGUUAUACAGACCGAUUUGACAAUUCAGAAUUCCACCUUGACCAGGCCUGGGCACGAUGCUUCUUUCUUUCCCCUACUAACAUUUCCCGGCCAGCCUGGUUGGUUCAUCCUCUGGCACAGCCCACGGGGCCUAGGAGACCCCAGGUUAAUUCUGGUUC